UGCAUAUAUGAUUUGUAUUGUAGGGAGGGGGGAGGGGUGGAUGCGAGAAGGUUCUGGACGGAGGUCGUGAGGUGUGUUAAGAGAUUAUUUUUCUCCUUGUCGGGGGGCUGUAGCCCUACAUGAUUAUCUCCCUAUUGUUUCAUGUCCACUUAUAGGGGGGAGNUUUUUGGGUUAGCGACGGGAAAACUAUGUCCCCGUAAAGCGUGGAAGGUCGAUCAGAUAUGAGGGUGGGGAUAGAAAAUGGCACGCGAAUUGGAUGCGAGUGUGGGUCUGUUACUACUCUGGGGGAGCUAAGCUAAAUACCAACAAUCCUCGUCGAUUUCUAUAUUGGGAACAGCGGCUAUUAUGUUGUUGG
rnacentral:rRNA from 1 species